GAGCCUGUAGCCUAGCCUGGAUAGGGCAUCUGCCUCCUAAGCAGAAGAUCGGGGGUUCGAAUCCCCCCAGGCUCG
rnacentral:tRNA from 1 species